rnacentral:rRNA from 5 species
CUGCACUGACCUCAGAUCAGGCGAGAUCACCCGCUG